rnacentral:snRNA from 1 species
GUUUUAUUUAUUAGGGACAGGGGCAGCACAUACGCUAAACUUGGAACGGUACAGAGAAGGUUAACAUGGCCCUUGCGCAAGGAUGACACACAAAUUCCUGAAGUGCUCCAUGGUUUU